UGAUAACGUAGUGGAUAAUUUUUUGUAUUUGUAAUUUUUUGGAAAUGUUUUUGUAUUUAUGAAAAAGAUUCUCACUCAUGUUCACUUGAGACAGGCUGUGUAGUUAUUCCGAGUCACAGGAGUGUGGCAGCAGGAGAUUGGAGCCCUAUUGUGUAUGACUGUUAAAGAGCACAUGAGAUAAUUAGUUAAUUAGAGCAUUGUUUAAUUAGGUUAAAUAAGUAGAUAUACAUAACCAUGAUUAUCAGCUUGUUUGAUUAAGCAGAAUAAUGCACUUUUUAAAGACUUUAUAUUUGAUAUUUAAGGAAAACAUAAACUUUACUAUGAAGAGCUCUCAGGAUCAAAGCUCAAAAUCCACAACCAGGAAGUUGGGGCAUCCAAGAGCUCUGCCAUCGACUACAGAUUUCAUGCAGCCCCUAGUGUGGAGUGUUGGCUUGUACCAUUACAGUCUGUCCUGCAGGGAGAGAUUUCUGACUUUACUCUCUCACAGCUGUAGAAUCCCGUGCUAAAUAUGUGCAUACUUAUUAUACUCAUUAAGUCAAAAUGCAAUUAAAAUUUUUGUUUCAACUGCAACACUA